UACGGAGGGUGCAAGCGUUAAUCAGAAUUACUGGGCGUAAAGCGUGCGCAGGCGGUUUGUUAAGUCCGUUGUGAAAGCCCCGAGCUCAACUUGGGAAUUGCAGUGGAUACUGGCAGGCUGGAGUACGGUAGAGGAAGGUGGAAUUCCCGGUGUAGCAGUGAAAUGCGUAGAGAUCGGGAGGAACACCAGUGGCGAAGGCGGCCUUCUGGACCAAUACUGACGCUCAUGCACGAAAGCGUGGGGAGCAAACAGG
rnacentral:rRNA from 1 species